rnacentral:rRNA from 1 species
UACGGAGGGGGCUAGCGUUGUUCGGAAUUACUGGGCGUAAAGCGCACGUAGGCGGCUUUGUAAGUUAGAGGUGAAAGCCCCGGAGCUCAACUCCGGAAUUGCCUUUAAGACUGCAUCGCUUGAAUCAUGGAGAGGUGAGUGGAAUUCCGAGUGUAGAGGUGAAAUUCGUAGAUAUUCGCAAGAACACCAGUGGCGAAGGCGGCUCACUGGCCCGAUACUGACGCUGAGGCACGAAAGCGUGGGGAGCAAACAGG